rnacentral:sRNA from 1 species
CAGCAGCUUUUGUGGAUUAUUUCUUCUUUCUUUUCUUUUUUUUCUUUUGUAACCUUCUGAGGUGACCUUCUUUUUUCUUCAAAUCAAGGUUCCCAUUCAAAAACUCAAAGUAUUCCUGAAUCCCGAUUCUGAAUCAUGCAUGUAUGCAUGCAUGUGGAGAGCGUUGGUCAUAUACAAGGCUCUGAGGGCGGUGCCUCGAACUCUUCCACUAAGCUAGCUAUCGUAAGGGAACUUCAUCAGAGACUGUUCUAUAACUUGGAUUUAGCAAUGAUGGAUGUAUUUACAGACGAUACAAGCAUACGCCCUUGCAGUGAGCACAGCGGAAACCUAUUGUUAUUGGCAUAAAAAUCAAGUCUACAGCCAUGGUUCCUUAGAACAGCAGAUAUGGCCCUUAGAAGUAUAUGGUCUAAGAAAUCACAGAUCAGUGUAGUCAGAAUGCCUGCUUUUUGUCCUUGAAAAUGCUCUACGCUGCCGCUUCUGAAAAGGGAGAGAAACAGUAGACAUACAGCUCACAGAUAUAAAGGUCAUACAUACAUCUUUGAUUAGCGAGCUGAGUUCAGGUGAAGAAAGUGGACAAGCGGGCUUUGUCAACAUAAACAAUAAAAGGUCAUUAAAAGCAAUAGUAACUCAUAAUUAAGUAGGCCAGAUAACUGAAAACAAGCUACACAACUGGAAGCUGUUCAACAAUGCCAUUUUUCUUCUCAGCAACAUACAAAUGUUGGUUUCCUGGUGCAGUUGCAAAGUAUAGGGAUUGUCUGAUGCAAUCACCUGAGAGUCUAACCCCACCAAUGACUGCUGGUGUGACAAUGCCUUCCUCCAAAAUCCAGUCAGACACAGCAUUGCCUUGUGAAUCUAGCAACUGUAUCUCCACAGUGAUCUGCUGCCGUAUCACUGAUCCACCAGCUGUCGUUAUCUGAGUGUUUCCACCGAACCCCAUGUAGGUUGGAGGGAUGGCUAAAGCAACU